CGUGACUAAAAUUUUCCGUGGCUUUUCAGAGCGAGAUAAUCCCACUUGAUAAUGACAUUAACAGGAUAUUAAAUCCGUACAGCGUCAAUUAUCGAUAAAUUAUAGCCUACUGCGGACACAUUCUGUCCACACCUCGCGAUUGCAAAUAUUUUACAGAUGUUAAUUUUCCUUUACUAUACCUUACGAGGCAGAUUAUAAUCUGGGGGCAUGCAUGUCUGUGCUCUUCACUAUAUUUGUAUGAUAUAGUGGGUAUUUGUGCUAAUUUUAUGUUAGGGGUCCGAAUUGUAUACGUAUAUGUUACAUCAUUAUGUUUGUACAUAUGUUAUCAUGAAUAUGCUAACUAUAGCAUUUGCGGGGUUGUUGCUGC